GUCGUAGAAGGCCCAUUCCCAUACGUCCGGGCACGCCCCCACAAGCUCGCCCCCUUCCUGCAUUGCCGCCGUAAUCCUCUGUUGCUGUUGUCUUGGAUGUGGUAGCAGGUUCAGUCCAUUCUAUCUUCAGGCUCAAGAACUAUUCUUGCUCUAUGAAGAUCUUUUACUGAUACUAGGGAUGGUUUAACACUGUAUUCAGGAGCCAGGACAUUUAACAAGCAAGGUUUUCACACUGGAUGGUCAAGGCGUUGGCGAGGAGUGUGAAGAGUAUCGCCUCAUGAUUAGCAAGACCUUGAGAAGUGAGGAGGAAGGAUAUCAGUUCUGCAAUGAGUAUCGGAUGAGACCACUAGCUCGUAUAUAUGGCCGCGUGAGAUUUAGCUAAAUUUGUGUAACAAUUCAACUGCAGGCUCGGAUGAAUGGUGUUUUUCAGGUGAUUGUCUGAUUGUGCUUCGGCGGCGUCAUCAUUCCAGAAAAGGGUUGUCAUGUCUACAUAUAUACCACACACAUAAAUUAGCUUAUUUUGUGAUAUACUUCCUGAAUUUUGAGCAUCAGAUGAGUUUGUGUCCUAUAUUAGAAGAAGGGUUGUGGGUGACGUAUACUGCUGUAAAUGAUUGUAACCACAUUGUUUUGCUCAGGAAUAAAGU